rnacentral:piRNA from 1 species
UGGAACCCAGUCAGACGACGGGCAU